rnacentral:rRNA from 1 species
GUAGGUGGCAAGCGUUGUCCGGAAUUAUUGGGCGUAAAGCGCGCGCAGGCGGUUCUUUAAGUCUGAUGUGAAAGCCCACGGGCUCAACCGUGGAGGGUCAUUGGAAACUGGAGAACUUGAGUACAGAAGAGGAAAGCGGAAUUCCACGUGUAGCGGUGAAAUGCGUAGAGAUGUGGAGGAACACCAGUGGCGAAGGCGGCUUUCUGGUCUGUAACUGACGCUGAGGCGCGAAAGCGUGGGGAGCAAACAGGAUUAGAUACCCUGGUAGUCCACGCCGUAAGCGAUGAGUGCUAAGUGUUAGGGGGUUUCCGCCCCUUAGUGCUGCAGCUAACGCAUUAAGCACUCCGCCUGGGGAGUACGGCCGCAAGGCUG